rnacentral:rRNA from 1 species
GAUCCUGGCUCAGGAUGAACGCUGGCGGCGCGCUUAACACAUGCAAGUCGAACGGUUAAAGCACCUCCGGGUGUGCAUAAAGUGGCGAACGGCUGAGUAACACGUGGGCAACCUGCCCCCCGCACCGGGAUAGCCUCGGGAAACCGUGGGUAAUACCGGAUACUCCGCCACCCCCGCAUGGGGGAGGCGGGAAAGCGUACACGGCGGGGGAUGGGCCCGCGGCCUGUUAGCUCGUUGGCGGGGUAACGGCCCACCAAGGCGAUUAUGGGUAGCCGGGUUGAGAGACCGACCGGCCAGAUUGGGACUGAGACACGGCCCAGACUCCUACGGGAGGCAGCAGUGGGGAAUCUUGCACAAUGGGCGAAAGCCUGAUGCAGCCGACGCCGCGUGCGGGAUGAAGGCCCUCGGGUUGUAAACCGCUUUCAGCAGGGACGAGGCGCAAGUGACGGUACCUGCAGAAGAAGCCCCGGCUAACUACGUGCCAGCCGCAGC